rnacentral:lncRNA from 1 species
AGACCUCUGCUACUUCCGGAUCUAGUGAGGUCCGUGACUUGAGGACCCAGCUUGCGGUCCUUACUGAUCUGUUGGCGCAACAGACGGCAGCGGCGCAGCGACAGGCUGAGGUGGCUCAGCGGCAGGAGGCGCGGAUGAAGCAUCUUGAGGACCUCCUACUUCAGCAGGCGGCAGCUUCGAGGUAGACCCAGGUUCCCACACCGCCAGCACCCGUGGUGGACGUCGCGCGGAGGGCACAGCCCCCCGCGCCCAGUUCUUCACGUGCGGCACAGGCGACCACACCUCGUGAGGAGGUGGCUGCGGCACCCCCAGUUCAGAGACCGGCCACGGGGCAGCUUUCCCCGUGAGGGCCGAAGGAGCCGAGCGGGAUCGGCUCGUGGAUCUCCAAAGUGAGUUCAGGAGGUGCAGUCCAAGGACGUUUGAUGGCGAGAACGUCGACCACUGGAUUGUUGAGAAGUGGUUGAUGCACAUGGAGAAGCUUUUUCGAGACACCUUUGUGGAGGAGCGGGACAGAGUUUGGGUCGCCACUCACUUUCUCGAUGGCGUGGCCUACCGUUGGUGGUUGGAUAUCCAGGACAACCCCAACACCGACUUGGCAGCAAUUACUUGGACGAGGUUCAAGGAGCUCCUUCUGGCGCACUGGACGCACUGGACCUUUGAAAUCAAGGUUCGAGUGUUUGGGUUAUUUCGAGCUUUUCCACACUUGGUGGAGGUUGUAGAAUUCUUCACCUAAAAAAGUUCCGACAAAUGCGGGAUUCUGGACGAAGUCCUGAGAAGUUUUCACUCUCGGGACUCGUCCUGGAAGAGACCUGUCCCGCCCCAGUGAGCAGUGUUGAGGCCGGCCGAGCAAACCGGUCCUCUGACAGGCCGAGACCGGUCCCCGAGCAGCUCUCGCAGUGAGAGACCCGUCCCGCGUAGGAGAGACCGGUUCCCGAACGUAGUUUCGGAUUCGCAGGCGAGAGACGGUCCGCCUGCUGGGGAGAGACCGUCCCUCUGGGCGAAAACUGCCAACAACCGGGCUGUUGCAAAUUAAUGGAUUUUUGAGGGGCCUCACUGGAUUUUGUUACAUUAGAUGGGCUUUUAGCCAUUUCCUCCUCUUCCCUCUCUCAUUCUCUCAUUCUCACCCUCUCCCUACAUUUUCUAGAGAGAGAAGAAGAAGAAGAAAAAGGAGGAGAAGAAGAAGAGGAGCUACUCUGAGCGGAGCUUGGAGCUCAACCCCUUUCUCUCUUUCCCACCUUUGCAAGGCUUGAGGCUUGCUUGUAGAGCUUAGUGGUGGACAAACUUCAACCCUAGGGUAUUUUGGGCUUGGUUGAAGCUUCCAAAGGGUUAGUUCAUGUUUCCCUCCUCGAGAUUCUAUUUUUGUGAUUUUGGGAGAUGAAGCCCUAGAAAUGAGAUUUAGGGCUUAUUUUGGCUUUUUGAUCUAGGCUUUGCCAAAUCGAUUGCUUAGAACUUCCUAGGGCUGGAUGGAAGGGUUCUAGCUGCUCUCUGGAGCUUUGGAGAGAUUUCUACUCUUGAGCUAAAUUUUGGCCCUUUUUGCUCUAGGUUUAAUUUUUAAUCUCUCGAUGGUCGUAAUGCCCUCGAUCUCUUCGCUGAUUACUUUUAGGGUAUUGUGAGACUCGUGCGACACUCCGUUCGUGAUUCGAAGGACACGCGACGGUUCGGUGGUUUGACCUAGCUUAUCAUGAGAACAUACUCAUAUAUGAUGAAAUGGGUUUCGUAAAUUGAAAAACAUCGCUCAUGUAGAAUAUAGUUUAUUGUGAAUUUUAGGAUGUUUAAGAUGCCUAGUUAUGUGUAAGGAAAUUUCGGACCCCUAUAUAGUAGAGAACUAGCAUGUGUACUUGCAGCAUAUUUGCAUCCUUUUAGACUGGAAUCAUAAACUCCUAUUUGUGAAAAUGAGCACCUCUUGCAUGCAUUUAGGGACUAUCCUAUUUGAACUUGAAGGUUCUGGUAGCGCAUAAAGAGGCUCGGGGACUUGUGUUAUUGGGAAUAGUUGGCCUAAUGUCAUGAAGGGGCAUUGAGCUCGGUCAUGUGUAAACCUAUGGGAUAGUGCCAUUGAAAGAGUUAGAUAUACUUGUUCAUUAAAAUGUCUAAGUGUCAUAAAGGGGCACAAACUUUUAGUAUAUUGGGACUCAUUGUGAAUUAAACUAGAUCUUGCGGAUGCAAGUGACAUACCAUGUUAGAGACAUGAGGAUUGGAUAUUGAGACGACUACGCUUGCUUGCAUUUUGCUCAUCUGCACAUGCUUGUGAGGGUCGCUCCUACAAGCCGGCACUCCGGAGUUAGCCUACGCGACUACGGUUCGCGUCGUGCGGUAUUGAGAAGCCUACGGGGUCGAGUGGGACAGACACAUUCCAAGAGUAGGAAUGUCGGGCUACCACAGGCACUUAGGCGGCACAAGCUGGACUACCUUGGGUGGGUUCUUAAUUGGAAAUGGGAAUCGACACAGUGUUGAGAAUGAAUAAUCACUACUAGAUAGGUUUAGUAGUUGGAUUACUUUGACAUGCUCAUGAUAUAGCAUUGGUACAUAUAGCACGCUUGCCGGUUUCAUUGUUGCAUUGUAGUAUACUCGGUUGCUUGGUUAGAGCUUACUCUUUAUGCAUUGGACAUAUUAUCUUAUGAUAGCGUAGAUAUACAUCACCAUGACAUCAUGUUUACUUGAGAUAUAGCGGUUAGCUCUUCAAAUAUUCUUUCGUAUUGUUGUUGCUAUUACUCUUAUUAUUGCUUAUAGUACUUACCCUUUUCUCUUGGGGCCUAGUGGUGCAUAGAGCUGAGGUCAGUAAUUGCCCACUGGGAACUAUAAAUUAUAGUUCUCACGCCCUCUUUUUCUCGAUGUUUUUCAGAGCCUUCCACGCAGGGUGAGGCCAGGGAUCGCGGGAAGGGAGUUGCUAGGUGGUCCACAUCUCGAUUUAUGUUUUAUUUUGCGAGAGGUUGAGUGUUUUACCAGCGUACUAGAGACCACCAUUUUUAUACAUUUGAGACAGAUAUUGUACUUCUUAUGACUCCUAUUACUGUCUAACUUUACUUCCUUACCUUGGUGUAGAUGAUAGAACUAUACUCGCUCUGAUAUCAUUAGUCGCUUGUUGUUUCACUUCUUCUACUUGUCUUACUACCUGCUUUUACUUCCGCUUUUAUUCUAGACGCCUUAUAUGUGUAGACAUAUGGCGGGUCUGAGCACGCUACCGGGAGGGCCUCCGCCGGUCCCGGGGCGUGACAGCACUACUUCCCGAUCAGCGUCAAGAGGAAGAUGGAGCAGGACUUGCGCAGCUUGCGUCAGGACGAGCGGUCGGUGGCAGAGUAAUAGAGGAAGUUCUCCCGGCUACUUCAUUGUGUACCAUUUGUUGUGAGGGAUGACGAGGACAAGGCCCGCAUUUUUGAGCGUGGAUUGCGGCCUUCUAUUUUCCGAUUGGUGCAGUCUUCCAACCUCCAGACCUAUCGGGAGGUUGUGGAUCGAGCAUUGAUUGUAGAGGCUGGAGCGGCAGAUCUUCAGGAGCGUCGCGAGAGCUCAGAGAAGGGGAAGGGAAAGAGGCCCGCGGCUGAGCGUGCGAGUCAGACGCACUCACGGAGGCCGUCGAGGCACCCCAGGAGCCGGAGCCAGUCGCGGGGACGUGGCUCGUCAACUCAGCGAGGAGGAUCCGUUCGUCGCCAGGCUCCCCGCUGCGUGAUCUAUGGCGGUUCUCAUUACCCGCGGUAGUGUUCAUGCAGUCGGGGCAGGUGCUUCUUGUGUGGCCAGGAGGGCCACUUCCAGUCGGACUGCCCGAGGAGUCCAUCGCCAGCGCCAUCUUCGGCAUCUGCACCAGCAUUACCAGGUCCCAGUCAGGGGAUAUCUUCUACACAUCACCAGGCCGGGCGGCCGUCAGUUCUACGGCAGGCGGAGGGGUCACGACAGGCCUCGAGCGGGCGCAUGUACGCGGCCCAGACUGAGGAGGCGGCGGCAGCCGAGAAUGUGGUCGCAGGUAUCAUUUUACUUUAUGGUAUUCGAGUUAGAGCAUUGUUUAAUACCGGUGCAUCGCAUUCAUUCAUAGACCGGCUGUUUGCCGAGUUGCAUGGUAUCCCACUUGCAUCUUUGUUGCACCCGGGCUGAGUUGUUGUACCCGACCAUUCCUUGGACAUUCGGGAGUUUUGCCCCAGUUGCCCUGUUCGGGUUGGAGAUUGGAUCAUGCCUGCGCACUUGCUAGUGUUGCAUAAACUCGGGGAGUUUGAUGUUGUGUUGGGCAUGGAUUGGUUGACCAAGUACUUUGCCACCAUCGAUUGCAAGAAUCGAACGGUGACAUUUAGAGAGCCGGGGCAGGCGGAGGUUGUGUACCGAGGAUGCCAGAGUUCGCUGUUUGCGAUGACGAUUAGCUCUUCUCGAGCUCGGCAGUUGAUUAGUAGAGGCUGCGUGACCUACUUGGCUACUGUUGUGCUGCGGGGUGAGGAUGACACCCCCAGGAUUGAGGACAUCCCCGUAGUACGGGAGUUUGGAGAUGUGUUCCCAGCUGAGCUUCUGAGCAUGCCACUGGAUAGGGAGAUUGAGUUUGUAAUGGAUCUCGUUCCCGGGACUACUCCAAUCUCAAAGGCACCCUAUAGGAUGGCACCAGCAGAAUUGAAGGAGCUGAAGGCAAAGUUACAGGAUCUUCCGGACAAGGGUUUUGUGCGACCGAGUGUGUCACCUUGGGGAGCACCAGUUUUGUUUGUGAAGAAAAAGGACAGAUCACUUCACUUAUGCGUGGACUAUCGUGAACUUAACAAAGUCACGAUUAAGAAUAAGUAUCCGUUGCCGAGAAUCGACGAUCUAUUUGAUCAGUUACAGGGAUCCAGUGUGUAUUCCAAGAUUGACUUGCAGUCGGGAUAUCACAAAUUGAAGAUCAAGCCUGAGGAUGUGUCGAAGACAGCUUUUAGAACACGGUAUGGACAUUAUGAGUUUACUGUGAUGCCGUUCGGGCUUACUAAUGCCCCGGCAGCUUUUAUGGAUCUUAUGAACCGUGUGUUUAAGCCUUAUUUAGACAGGUUUGUCGUGGUGUUCAUCGACGACAUUUUGGUCUAUUCCCUAAGUGAUGCGGGCCACGAGGAACACUUGAGACUUAUACUUCAAGUGCUUCGGGAAAAGAAGCUCUAUGCCAAGUUGAAAAAGUGCGAGUUUUUGCUUCGGGAUAGCUGUGGAUCCAAGAAAAAUUGAAGCUAUCAAGGAUUGGCCGAGGCCGACGAGUGUGACCGAGAUACGGAGCUUCAUUGGUUUGGCCGGNAGAAAAAUUGAAGCUAUCAAGGAUUGGCCGAGGCCGACGAGUGUGACCGAGAUACGGAGCUUCAUUGGUUUGGCCGGCUACUAUCGACGGUUUGUUGAGGGAUUUGCAAAGUUGUCUACUCCCCUCACGAGGCUCACGCAUAAAGACAAAAAGUUUAUUUGGAAUGAUGCGUGUGAAAGGAGCUUCCAAGAGUUGAAGCAAAGAUUGACGACCGCCCCGAUCCUAACCUUGCCGACUGCUGGAGUAGGGUAUGUGAUUUAUAGUGAUGCUUCCUUUAAUGGAUUGGGUUGUGUCUUGAUGCAGAACGGGAAAGUGAUUGCUUAUGCAUCCCGCCAAUUGAAGGAUUAUGAAAGGAAUUAUCCCACUCACGACUUGGAGUUGGCAGCCGUGGUCUAUGCAUUGAAGCUAUGGCGCCACUACUUAUACGGCGAGCGAUGUGAAGUGUAUACGGAUCACAAAAGCUUAAAGUAUUUAUUCACUCAGAAGGAGUUGAACUUGAGGCAGCGCAGAUGGUUGGAGCUACUCAAGGAUUAUGAUCUGACGAUUCUCUACCACCCAGGCAAGGCUAACGUAGUGGCUGAUGCGCUAAGUAGGAAAUCGACGGAAAACUUAGCGAUGUUUGUGGUGACUCAACCGCCGUUGAUCGAGCAGAUGAAGAGGUUGGAGUUGGAGGUGACUCCUGACGCACCUUUGAGGCUGAUGACUUUGGUGGUGCAACCUACACUUAUGGAAAGGAUUAAAGAAAAGCAAGCUCCCGAUGUGGAGUUGCAAAGGAUUCAAGCUAAGAUGGUUGAUGGUUGCACCGAUGACUUCACUUUGGACGGUGAUCGAUUGAUGCGAUUCCGCGGACGGUUGUGUGUAUCGGCGGACUUGGGCAUUAAAGAGGACAUUCUUCAUGAAGCACACCGAGCACCGUAUGCUAUACAUCCGGGAGGCACCAAGAUGUACAAGGACUUGAAGUUUCUUUACUGGGGGCCCGGGAUGAAAAAGGAAGUUGGUGAGUUUGUUGCCAGAUGCUUAACUUGCCAACAGGUGAAAGUUCAGCACCGAGUUCCUGCUAGAAAGUUGCAGAGCCUACCGAUUCCAGUGUGGAAGUAGGAGAAGAUCACCGUGGAUUUCGUGAUGGGUUUGCCUUGCUCACAGGCCAGGCAUGAUGCUAUUUGGGUGAUCGUGGAUAGGCUGACGAAAUCGGCCCAUUUCAUACCAAUCCACACUAUUUGGACUGGUGAGAGACUCGCACAGGUUUAUCUGGAUGAGAUUGUGCGAUUGCAUGGGGUACCUACUUCUAUAGUAUCAGAUCGAGAUCCCCGUUUUGUAUCCCACUUUUGGAGGAGCUUACAGGAUGCUUUGGGUACGCGCUUGGAUUUCAGCACUGCUUUCCACCCCCAGAGUGACGGGCAGUCGGAGCGUACUAUACAAACUCUCGAGGACAUGCUUCGAGCCUGCGUGAUUGACUUCCAGGGAGGAUGGUCGCAGCAUCUACCGAUGGCAGAGUUUGUGUCACGCCCCGGGACCGGCGGAGGCCUUCCGGGUAGCGUGCCCAGACACGCCAUAUGUCAACACAUAUAAAGCGUCUACAACAAAAGCGAAAGCAAAAGCAAGUAAUAGAACAAAUAGAAGAAGUGAAAUAACUAGCAGCUAAUGAUAUCAGAGCGAGUAAAGUUCUAACAUCUACACCCAGGUAAAGAAGUAAAGCUAGACAAUAAAAGAAUUCAUAAGUAGUACAAUAUCAGUCUCUAGAACAAAAAUGGUGGUCUCUAGUACACUGGUAAACUCCUUAACCUCUCGCAAAAAGAAAUAUAAAUCGAGAGGUGGACCACCUAGCAACUCGUCCUCGAAGGAAGCUAGCUCGAAGUAACUCCCUUCCCGCGAUCCCUGGCCUCACCCUGCACGGAAGGCUCUGAAAAACAUCGAGAAAAAGAGGGCGUGAGAACUAUAAUUUAUAGUUCCCAGUGGGCAAUUACUGACCUCAGCUCUAUGCACCACUAGGCCCCGAAAGAAAAUGGUAAGUACCAUAAUAAUAGCAAUAAUGACUGCGAUAUGAAAGCAUAAUUAAAAUGCUAAAUUACUAAACUCAAGUAUACACGAUGUCAUGGUGAUGUACAUCUAUGAUAUCAAAUGGUAAAUCAUUAACCUUUAUGAAUACAUUAUGCAUAAGUUCUGUCAUGGCAACCAAGUAUGCUUUAAUGCAAAAGGAGACUAUCAAGUACACUACAUGUCUCAACCCUAUGCUAAAAGCAUAUAAAUGUAAUUCAACUACUAAACCUAUCUAGUAGUGAUUAUCCAUUCCCGGUUCAAUGUCAUUAAUCAAACAUGUUUUAGGAUCUACAAAUUGUAAUCCAGCUUGUGCCGCCUAAGUGUCGGUGGUAGCCCCAACAUUCCCACUCUAGGAAUGAGUCUAUCCCUACCGACCCCGUAGGCCUCUCGAUACCGCACGGCGAAUAUAGGUCGCGUAGGCUAACUCCGGAGUGCCGGCUUGUAGGGAGCGACCCUCACAAGCAUGUGCGAAUGAGCAGAAAUGGCAAGCACGCAUAGUCCAAGUCUAAAGUAUCCAAUCCUCAUGUCUCUAACAUGGUAUAGUCACUAGCAUCCCGAAGAUCUAGUUUAAGUCACAAUAUGAAGUUUCAACAUUUGCUACGCCUAGUGCCCCUUGAUGACACUUAGGCAAUUUGAUGUUCAACAUGUAUUCCAAAUCCCUCAAUGGCCCUAUCCACUAGGUUCUCACAUGUCCUGAGCUCAAUGCCGCUUGAUGACAUUAGCUCUCUAGUUCACAUACCUUCUAAAUGGCAAUCUUGUCAACUUUCAUGUCACAAUAAACUUAGGUUUAAAUGCAUGAGUGCAAUCUUAUUUACAUUAUAGGAGUAUGAAACCACAUCUUGUAUAGAAUGCUAAGUGCAACCAUAGGCCAACCAAGCUACUCUCUACUACAUAGAGGUCCAAAAUUUCAUCAUAUAUAACAUAGGCCUUUUAAGCAUUCUAAAAUUCACAAUAAAUACAUACAAUAAGAAUAUGCAUGCUUUUCCAUUUAACGAUACUUAAUUAAGCACAAAUGAGAAUUUCUCAUUGUGUGGCUAGGUCAAACCCACCGAACCGUCGCGUAGGGCCUCGUUUCGCCGAACAAAGUUGUCCCCGAAUCUCAAAAUACCCUAAAAGUAUUGAGCGACAAGAUACACGGGCAUUACGAUCAUCUUAUAUCAUCAAACAUUAACCUAGAAGCAAAAAGGGACAAAACUCACCUCAAGAGUAGAAAUCUUCUCCUAAGCUCCAAAAGAGAGCUAGAACCCUUCCAAUCCAAGCCCUAGGAAGGUUCUAAACCAACAAAUCAAGCCUCAAAAGCCCUAGGUUCAAAAAGCCCAAAAUAAACCCUAAGUCUCAAAACUAGGGUUUCAUCUCAAAGAAAGCUCUAAAAUCCAAAACUUGAGGAAAGGAUCUUGCCACUUACCUCUUAGAAGCCUCAAAACCAGCUCAAAGUCCUCAAACUUCAAGUGUCUUCCCUGAAUCAAGCUCCAAACCCAAGCUCCAAGCUUCAAAAAUGGUGGAAAUAGCUCCAAUAGGCAAAAGAGAGGGAAAAAUCAUCAAAAUCCAAGCUAGAAUGAGAUCAAAUCCAAAAGGUGGAAAAGAGGGGCUCCUUACCUUGCUCCUCCUCAGGUUCCAGCACCAGGGAGGCCCUAUGGGGCGUGGGUGCUGUUAUAAGAAGCCCACAAUCGCAAAUAAGCCCCUGCAGAACAAACUGUGCAGAAUCUGCCUUCUUGUAUCGGUACACGGGAUCUUGUACCGGUACAAGAGCUACGAAAAUCCAAAACCGAGGCUCGGGUGCGCGGUUCUGCGGCGCUGUACCGGUACAGACCCGAUGGCUGUACCGGUACAACCAUCAACAUUGUACCCGUACAAGACCACCCUUGUACCGGUACAAGCCCGCCAAACAGCCAAUCCGAGAGCUGACCAAAAUCCAAAUUUUUGGGUUUUGGUGCAAGGCUUUGUACCACACUCCUCGGGACACAUGCCAUAGGUCGGAACACAGUCAACGACCUACCAGGAAAUCUAGAAAAGCUCAGAGCACAGCUAAUCACUCGAAUCUCGUAAUUUGCAAAGGUCUAGUGCGUUACAGUUUGCUUAUAACAAUAGUUAUCAAGCAAGCAUCAAGAUGGCACCGUUCGAGGCACUCUAUGGACGGAAGUGUAGAUCGCCACUUCAUUGGAGUGAAGUUGGCGACAGAUUGGCCUUAGGCCCAGAUGUGCUCCAGGAGGUCGAGAACAAGGUUCGCAUUGCUCGAGAGCGACUGUUGACAGCCCAGAGUAGGCAAAAGAGCUAUGUUGAUCGGCGUCGACGAGACUUGGAGUUUCAAGUUGGAGAUCACGUCUUCUUGAAAGUCUCGCCGACUCGAGGGAUUAGAAGAUUUGGAAUCCGGGGUAAGUUGAGCCCCCGAUACAUUGGACCGUAUGAGGUUCUGGAGCGUGUAGGCCCGGUAGCGUAUAGACUUGCUCUACCGCCGAACCUAUCGGGUGUACACAAUGUAUUCCAUGUAUCGGUCCUUCGGAAGUACAUCCACUACCCGGCUCAUGUUUUGGAUGCUACACCAGUGGAGCUGAGGGAUGAUCUGAGCUUUGAAGAGCAACCCUUGAGGAUUUUGGCUCGCGAGGUAAAGAGAUUGCGGAACCGAAAAAUUUCCUACGUGAAGGUGCUUUGGAGCAACCACGACAAGCGCGAGGCCACUUGGGAGUUGGAGAGCGCACUGCGGGAGCGCUAUCCCCAUCUUUUUCAGAUGGAGGCUUGAGGUACUUUGUCUUUUUCGAGUUUUGCGGACGAAACUCUUUUUUAGGAGGAGUGAAUGUAGCACACUGGACCUUUGCAAAUUGCGAGGUUCGAGUGUUCGAGCUGUGUUCUGAGUCCUUCCAGACUUUCUGGUGGGUCGUUGACAGUGUUCCGAUUUAUGGCCCGUAUCCCGAGAAUUGUGGUUUAAAGCUGUGUACCAAAACCCGAAAAAUCGGAUUCUUGGCCAGCUCUCGGGUAGCCUUCAGAGGGUCUUGUACCGGUACAAGGUUGGUGGUUGUACCGGUACAAGGUUGAUGGUUGUAUCAGUACCGCCACCGGGCUUGUACCGGUACAGAGCCGCGGAACCCCCCAGACCCGAGCCUCGGGUUGAAGCUUUUCGUGAGGCUUGUACCGGUACAAGGGCCCGUGUACCAGUACAAGGGCCCGUGUACCGGUACAAGGUGGCAGAAUUUGAGCAGUUUGAACUGCAGGGGUGUUUUUGCGAUUGUGGACCUCUUAUAUCAACACCCACGCCCCUAGGGCUUCCUCCUGAGCUUGCCACAGCAGGAAUAGAGGUAAGGGAGCCCUCCUUGAUUUUCUUUUUGUUUUUCUUGGAUUUUGGUGGGAUUUUAAGAGAUUAAACUCCUCUUUUUGCUCGUUGGUACAACUUCACCAUUGUUGAAGCUUGAAGCUUGGAUUUGGAGCCUUGUUGAGGGAAGAUCUUUGGACUUAGAGAGUUUAGAGCUUGGGUUGAAGCUUCUAAGAGGUAAGCAUCAUAUUCUCUCCCUCUAGAUUUGAUUUUUGUUGAUGGUUUUGAGAUAAAACCCUAAAAUGGAGACUUAGGGCUUAUUUUUGGGCAUUUUUGAUUUAGGGCUUUUGGGGCUAAAUUAAUUGGAUUAGAACCCUCUUUGGGUUGUAUUGGAAGGAUCCUAGCCUUCUUUUGGAGCUUGUGAGAGUUUUUCUACACAUUAGGUGAGUUUUAGCCCUUUUGCCUUGUUGGUUAAUGUUUGAUUUUAUAGUUGAUCGUGAUGCUCGAGUAUCUCUUCGCUCAAUACUUUUAGGGUAUUUUGAGACUCGUGGACAACUUCGUUCGGCGAAACGAGGCACUACGCGACGGUUCGAUAGGUUUGACCUAGCCAUACAAUGAGAAAAUCUCAUUUGUGAAGAUUUGAGUAUCGUUAAUUGAUAAAGCAUGUAUAUUCAUGUUAGAUAUAUUUAUUAUGAAUUUUAGAAUGCUUAACAUGCAUACAUUAUGUAUAGUAAAUUUUUGGACCUCUAUGUGAUAGGGUGCAUGCAUGUGGGACGUAGCAUUCUAGUGGAAACUUAGAACCAUGAUUCCUAUUAUGAAAAUGAACAUUGCUUUCUUGCAUUUAACCUUAUGCCUAAUUGUGACAUUAGGGACUUUGGAAGCCUAGAGAGGUUUGGGGACUUAGGCUAUUUGAGAUUUUGGGCCAAUGUCAUAAAGAGGCAUUGGGCCCCGGGCUAUAGUGAAUAUUGGUAUUAACGUCAUAUUUAGAACAUAGAACAUGAAUUGAGCUUGAUUAGUUGUGAUGCUUAAGUGUCAUAAAGAGGCACUAAGCAAGUGGUGUUGAGAUAUCACAUUGUGACAUAGAGCUAGACCGUUGGGUUACUAGUAGCUAUUGCCAUGUUUGAGACAUGAGGGUUGGAUACUUGAGCCUUUGACUAGGUUGCUUGCCAUUUGUGCUCAUUCGCACAUGUUUGUGAGGGUCGCUCCCUACAAGCUGGCACUCCGGAGUUAGCCUACGCGACUUAUGUUCGCUCGUGCGGUAUUGAGAAACCUACGGGGUCGAGUGGGACAGAUACAUUCCAAGAGUAGGAAUGUCGGGCUACCACAGGCACUUAGGCCGCACAAGCUGGACUACUUUGGGUAGGCCCUUAUUUGGAAAUGGAAAUCGACACAGUGUUGAGUGUGUUAUAAUCACUACUAGAUAGAGAUUAGUAGUUGGAUUACUUGGACUUACUUCUAGCAUAGUAUUGGACACUUGAGUACACAUACGUACAUGUAGUAUGUUAGGAGAUGUUGCUUAUUGCAUUCAUAUAUACAUUGUUGCCAUGAUAAAGCAUGAUCCUUAUAACUUCAUAAGUGAACUGUGACAUUUACUUGUAGCCAUGUAGAGACAUAUUGGUUAUGACAAAGUAAAGGUGCAUUAUUUUUCAACACCAUGCUUAAUUGCAAUAUAGUAGCUUAGCAUUUUAAUUAUGCUCUUAUAAAUACAGUUUAUUCAUUAUUAUUGCUGUUUGCCGUAGUUACCAUUUUCUUUUGGGGCCUAGUGGUGCAUUGAGCUGAGGUUAGUAAUUGCCCACUGGAAACUAUAAUUUAUAGUUCUCACGCCCUCUAUUCUAUGUUUUCUUUCAGAGCCUUCCACGCCGGGAGAGGCUAGGGACCGUGGGAAGUGCGUUGCUUCGAGCUAGCUCUUCAGCGAGGGACGAGUUGCUAGGUGGUUUACCUCUCGAUGUAUUUUAUUUUGGGAGAGGUUGAGAGCUGUACCAGUGUACUAGAGACCACCCUUUGUGUACUUUUGGGACAGAUAUUGUACUACCUUAUGGUUUACUUUUAUUGUUUAGUUGUAUCAUUUUACUUUUGUUAUAGAAAGUAGAAUCUUACUGCUCUGAUAUCAUUAGUUUUUGCUCUUUCCUUUCGGCUAUGUUUCUUGCUUUAUUUCCGCUGUUGACGUAGACACCUUAUAUGUGUUGGCAUAUGGCGGGUCUGGGCACACUACCGGCAGGGCCUCUGCCGGUCCCGGGGCGUGACAGUAUCUACACUAAACAUCCUAUAUGCAUAAGUAACCACAUAUGAGAACAUGAUCAAUAAUACAACUUAGACAUAACCGGAAGCCCAACUGCUUCGAGAUAACACCCCCCACCUUCUGGUGGUGCCACGAAGAUAAGGUUCGAAUUUCGCGAUCUUAGGACGCCGCCUCGGUUCUUUAAGCGAAAACGAAGCCGAAACGCCCUUUUUGCUAAUAUCUUUGCGCAGGCUCGACGGAUCGCCGAACCGUCUUCACCACCGUGUCCGACUACCUAGUAAAUAGGCACAAAAGAGAUCAAUCCCAACCUUGGAUCUCUACUUUACAAAACCUAUUUUAGAACCCUAGGUCGGAACUAUUGCAAGAAUCCGACGUAUAACUUCGCGAUUCAAGCAAUAAUCACCUACUUAGCAUCUAGGGGUUCUAUAAAAACCAUUUCUAAGGUAUAAAACAUCAGACCUAGAAAUCUACCAUUAAAGCUCCAUGAAGCUUACCUCAAAACCUCGCUCCAACAACGAGGAAGAAGAUGAAGAAGACGAAGAUCCGACGUCAACUUCAAUCUCCUUCAAUCCCUUCACUAACUUCCACCCUUGGGGGAGCUUCUAGAGAGAGAAAAGAAGAAAGAAAUGGUGAGGAGAGAGUUCACUGGCUGUGAACAAGAAAGGGGGAGUUGGGGCCCUUUUAUAAGCUGCCACAAUUAUAUAAAAGCCCCUCAAACAAUUCCAAAUUGCAACAGACCCAACCUGCAGUUUUCUGCAGUUGGUACCGGUACACGGGCAAUCUGUCACCGGUUCAACGAUUACGCAGCAGCAACCCGAGAGCAGCCCUUUUCGGUCAGCAGUCUGGUACCGGUACUAUUUUGGUCUAUCACCGAUUAACAGUUGUUGUGUGUCGAUCGUCCCGACCCUUGACCUAGUCAAAGAUCUUCUUCGGGAAGCGCGUCGGGGCUGAAAUGGCUCCGAAAGAUGACCCUCGAAGUGUGUGCCCUUUUACUGAACAAGCGAUUCGGCUGAUGAGGGAUCCAAUUAGCCAGGUCUGAAGAACUCUAUUCUCUCUUUGGUUCGGCCGGAUGAGCCGAAUGUAUGGGAAAAGUCGGAAACUCAACCAGGAGAUGAGCCGAACGGCUAACACAACACAAGAUCUGGCCGGUCUGAAGAGCCGAAAAUGACUUUCUAUUGAAUGAACCAGUAGAGAGUACAGGAAGAAAGGUUUUAGUCUACAACGGAGUGAUGCCCCGGGGGCAGACAGACUCCAGGAUCCUAAAUUACCAAGCUACUCCUAGAAAAAGCAGUAAAUGCAGGAAAGAAAGAUGCGGUAAAAUAAGGGUGGUCUUUUGUUCGCAAGGAAAAAAUACCCGUUUUUAGGGUGUUAUUACCCUAUUUAUAGAUCGCCCCCUUGAUCAGUUAUUGCUCUUACAUGAUCGGUCAUUAUCUCCUCAUAUUCCGGAUCACCUCCAGCCGAUCGGAACCGCAUGUAACUGCUUGCGGUUACUGUAACUUCCUUCAAUUGGCGCGAUUUAGUUUCCUUUAAACUUUUUCGGUGCUCCGAUACCCCGGGGGCAGACAGACUCCAGGAUUCUAAAUUACCAAGCUACUCCUAAAAAAAACGAUAAAUGCAGGAAAGAAAGAUGCGGUAAAAUAAGGGUGGUCUUUUGUUCGCAAGGAAAAAAUACCCCUUUUUAGGGCAUUAUUACCCUAUUUAUAGAUCGCCCCCUUGAUUAGUUAUUGCUCUUACACGAUCGGCCAUUAUCUCCUCAUAUUCCGGACCACCUCCAGCCAAUCGGAACCGCAUGUAACUGCUUGCGAUUACUGUAACUUCCUUCAAUUGACGCGAUUUAGUUUCCUUUAAACUUUUCCGGUGCUCCUGGUGCACGACCGAAUAAAUGCUUUUGAAGGGAAUACCAGCAUCCCACCUGUCCGCGCCUAAUUGGCUCAACAACAGCCUUGACAGAGGCUAACCCGAGAGCAACUCUGCUCUCGGUUUCUGUAGUGUACCGAUGACACCCCUGGGCUGUCACCGGUUCACAACGCUCCAGAUUUGAUUCUCGCAUUGUUACGACUCCAAUUCACGCCGAGCAAUGCUAAAACCUCUCUAACUCUUUUGGAACUCAAUUUUAACCCUUCCAACAUAGUUGGAAUGUCAAAUGGAACAUGUCCAAGCAUCCGUCUCGCCACACUUUGGUCACUUUGACCAAAAGUGGAUUAUUACUAUGAGGAUUCGAUAUCUUACAGUUGGGGUAGUCGUGUACUCUAAUAUUAACCAAAAUGGUGAAUACCUUGCAAUAUACACGCAUUAAACAUCCUGAGAAAACAUUUGGUACACUUAUAAUUUCAUAUAUUACUGCCAUGCCAUAUUUUGCGUAAUACUGAAUUGCUACUUGUCUCUACAUUUGGAACACCUACAGGUCAAAAUUGUGUAAUCUAAAUAAAAAACUAAUAUCGUUAACGGCCAUAUAACUGUUGGGAUAAAUCAGAGCCUAUGUAAACAUAGAUGAUACAGCUAUUCUCUGGAUCUGCAAAUUGUCUUCACCUUCUUGAGGUGUAGAAGUAUAGCAAGUGUUAACCUGCAUGACCAGAUCUACCACUGGCUCACACCAUUAUGAUUGUCUCCGUUAUAGUGAAAUAUGAUUGUGUUGUCUGACUUUACACAUGCGCAAGAAUCCAUAUGUAGAUGUUCUUUUAUUAUAUAUAGAGGGAAUUAAGUAUGAUGCCAAAUACCAUCAAAAUCUAUGUAAUACCGCAUCAUUGUGCAUCCUUAGGUCAUUCUCUAGCACUGUUUGAGGCAUCAAACUGUGCGCAUAUGUUAAUCUGCAUAAUGAGACUGCCUACUGGCUCACACUACUAUUAUAAUUUUAGUCUAUAUUUAUAGUGAAAUGUGUACCAGGAACCACUAUUGUAAUGUACCAACUUCUUGAUAUAAAGAUCAGUGUAAAUAAAAAUAGUGUGAGAUACUAUUUUUAUUGAACUUAAAGAAGUAAAAUAUAAGUCGAAAAUGACUUGUGCUGAAAUUGGAGUGGAAACAGAAGAUUUAGAAUUUUCUGUAAAAAACGGGGAUGAUCUUUUAGCAGAAAAUUCACAGUGUCAGAAAAUUAUGAAAACUUGAGAAUAUGUCGGAAUUACUUUUAUGAGGCUAGAUUUAAUGUUUCAUGUCAUUCUAACAACUGGAAGGUGGAAAAUAAAAUCUGACUGUGAUCUACUAGAGAUUUUAGUCGGUAGAAUUUUUGGUGACAAAAAAUGGUCCAAACUGAAAAGUUAAGAUAUCUUUCUUCUUAUUAGUUUAAACCGAGUCUGACUGUCAAAUUUGAGUGCAAACGGACAUUCAAAAGGGCUCCGACGAAAAGUAUCAGAUUCUGAACUGCUAAACUGAAAUUGUAAUAGUGUUGGGGGACAUAUAUAUAAACCCACACAACUCUCUCUCUCAUUGGUUUUCAUCGAGCACGAGAGGAGCUUGGAGAGGGGUUUUCUUUCUCUUUAAAUCACUCUCCCUCUACUCUCUAACACUUUUCUCUCCAUUCCUCUUGUAAUUUCUCCAUUAAAGAGAGGUUUGGAGGAGCUUAAGGUUGCUUGGUGGUGAAGCAAGCCUUGGGGAGAAGAAGCUUCAUGAAAGCAAAGGAUUCAAGGUGAGACUUCCUUAAAGUUGAGUUAGGAUUUUAGUUAAAUCCUUUAAAAGUUGUUGUAUUUAGGAUCUAUAUAUGAUUUUAAGCUAGUUUAAUGAAGGGUUUAUCAUGAUUAAUGAGAUUCUCUUGAGGAAAUGGAAACCUAGGGUUGAAAUUGGGGUUUUUGUCCCUAUGAGGUUUUGAAUUAAAUUGACCCUCUAAAUAUCUAAUUAAAGGUUAGAAGAGCACGCCCAACAACUUUAAUUAGGAUGCGUAGCGGCCUCGGCGAUCGAUCGAAGGAAACAAAUUGAUUCAUGAAGAUUUGAGUUCGUUAGCCUUAAAGCGCGGCGAAUCGUCAUUGGGAGCCCGAUUGCAAGUGACUACAAGCAAUCGAAGAGCGUUACGAGGUGGGUUGUGCUUCACCGAAGUGAUUAGGUCAUUUCUAAGCCAAAGUGAAGUAUAAAUGUUGUUGAUGCAUGUAAAAUUGGUAGGUUGUAUAUGAUAAUAUAAAUGUAUAAAUCAUAUUAUGCUUGAUGUUGUUACCUACCAUGAGAUGCUAUAUGAAUGCAUGAAGUAGAAGCUAAUCAAGAACGCAUGAGAUAGAUGCUAGUAAUGAACAUAUGAGAUGUAUGCGAAGUGGAUGCAUGAGCUAGAUGCUAAAUGAAUGCAUAGAGUAUAUGCUAAGUGAAUACAUGAACUAGAUGCUAAGUAAAUGCAUGAGUUAGAUUCUAAUUGUAAAUGCAUAAGAUAUAUACUAAGUGAAUGUAUGAGCUAGAUGCUAAAUGAAUGCAUGAGUUAAAUGCUAAAUGAAUGCAUUAGGUAGAUGCUAAUUGUAAAUGCAUAAGAUAUAUGCUAAGUGAAUGUAUGAGCUAGAUGCUAAAGAACGCAUGUGAGAGUUGCUAAAGAAUACGUGGGACAUAUGCUAAUAAAGAAUGUAUGAGUUGUAUGCCAAAUGUAUAUUGAUUACUAUUGUGAUAAGAACAUAGGCAUGUGUAGGAAAUGUUAGAGAAUAUAUGCAUGUUGACAUAACGUGAGAAAAUGCUAGGUUCAUACGAGUGUGAACUUGGGUCGAUAACUCUAGGUUGUUAGAGAAUUCGACAAGUGUGGCAUGUCAAUUAUGAUUCCUAGGUAUGGACAACUAGGAAAAUAAGAACAUGAGUGGCAAUGAAACCUAGUGUUAUUAAACAUAGGUGAUUCAUGAGUGGCAUUGAACCUAAAGUCAAAUGAACCUAGGUAGCAAGGAGCAAGGAACCUAGUAUUGUAGAACCUAGGCUAUGAGUAUAGUGGCAUUAAGCCUAAUGUUAUUAAAUUUAGGUUGAGGAGUGACUUGAACCUAGAAAGGUUGUCAACAUACGGUAAGACCAACCUUGAGAUAUGAAAGUGGAUUCCGGAAUCUCAGGACUUGUGAACUCGACAGUUCUUGGCCGCGGGUGCGUAUGGCAUAUUCCCCUCCCAUCGGAAGAACUUCGAGUAUAGGCUUAUGGAUGAUUCUUGGCCGCGGGGGCUGUGUGGCAUAUUCCCUUCCCACCGGAAGAAUCUUGGAGCGCUAGGGUGUAUGUGGCAUGUUCCUCUCCCUAUCGGGGAUCUUGGGCCGCGGGUGUGUGUGGCAUAUUCCUCUCCCACCGGAAAGAUCCCUAACCACGGGUGUGCGCUGCUCUGAGCGACCCGUUGGGCGACGUGGUUUGUGGAAUGGUGGCUGAGGUGCAUGUGAGAGUUCCUUCACCUGGAGCUGGACAGAGCGCGGAUUAUUUGCAGUCGAUUGACUCAAGACCGAGUCGAGUGGCAUAGUUGGCUAAGGUAAAGGUAACCUUAGGAAAGAAUGACAAAUGAGUAUAAUAUGGCUAAGGUGGGAGUACCCUCAGUGAAGAAUAAAGAUUAGCUAAGAAUAAUAAAAAAAGUCAAAGAAUAAAGAAUUGCUAAUAAUAUAAAGAAUGGCAAAUGAUAGAGAGUAGAAUCAAUUGAUCUACUUGCAUAGUUGCAUGAUUUGCAUAGUUGCAUAUUGUGGGGCAUGAACAUGAUAAUUGCUAGUCGCAUAAAUUAUAUAUCUGUGAAUAUUUGUUGGACUAACAUAUUUGCAGUGCCUCCUUUGGACCUGGUGGGUCGAGCUCUUCCCUUGGGUGACCGUACCCACUGGGAACUAUGGACAAUAGUUCUCACCCCACAUUAUUUUGGGGGUUUCAGGUUCACACGCGAGUUGCGCGGCGGCGCGAGGAAAGGGCGCAGCUCCAUAGAUAGCGCCCUACCACUGAGACUAGAGAUAGCGGUACCCUGAGUCGACUACUUAGGGAUGUGAAAAAGGAAAAAAAAUCAAGUUGUAAUAAUUAUGUUAAAUGGGAUUGUAUUUGGAACUUAACAAGAGUUGAAAAUGUAAUAUGUAAAAUGUAUGUAUGUUGGAUGCUUGUAAUAGCAUAGCGUUUAUGUUUUUGAUACCUUCCUUAUGCAAUCUUUGUUUGAAUGCUGUUCCUGGUUGAAACCUCGCGCAUUGUAUGAUUGUGACGUCUUGGACGUACAGGGGAGACUCUGUCCGCGAUACAGGGGAAACCCUGUCCGUUCGGCGGUAUGUUGGCGUGCCCGAAUCCGACCAAAUAGGUGGGGCUCGGGGCGUGACAACUAUAGUCAAUCCAUUUCCAUAAGAAUAAGCCGUGAAGUAUCGUGUACCGUGCAGAGGUAUUCACCAUCCCAACAUCUUUUUGAGUGUUGAUAGUGUUAUAUCAAAUAUGACAAAUUCGUUUUGACCUGAAGGUGUAUUUAUACUAGUAUGCUACUUUUUGUAUACCCAUCUAGCAUAUAGGUACACUAAUACAGAAGUAAAGCACAAUAUUUAAGGACUUGCCCUGCAUGCCUAAAAGCGACAGCUAUAGAUUAACCGGUGCACACCUUUAAAAUUAUAGCAAGUACCUAAAUAAAUUAGUGACAUGUCUUCUCUUGCAAGUCAGUACAUACUUUGACUUGAUUCAUCCCGCAGGUGCUGACAGUGGGUGUCUCAUAUAUGUAGAUUCUACUAUUACAUGUCGGUAAUAUUACUUAAUGCCUGACUUAUGAAUAAUCUGCAUGAUAAGACAUGUCAAUUUCCUUUAGUAUUGUCUUUUGAGUUGGUAAAGGUGUACCUUAGUCCACCAGAGGUAUUCCAUUGGACAUUAAGAUAGGAAUGCACGGACAGACCUUCAUAAUUUAUUAAUAUAGCUAGCACUGUAUAAUGGGUAGGGGUGGAAACGAGCCGAGCUCGAGCGAGCUUACCUCAGCUCAAACUUGGCUUGAAGUUAUUUUCGAGCCUAAAUUUAGGCUCAAGCUUCGCUUGAAAUUAAUUCGAGCCGAGCUCGAGCGAGCCUAACUUCGAGUCGAGCGAGCUCGAGCCCUAAAUGAGCCGCUUAAAAUUCUUAACAUCAUGCAAUCUAUAAUUUAAUUUUUAUAAAACAUUAUGUAAAAUUUGAUACAAAAUGUCACGCCCCGGGACCGGCGGAGGCCCUCCCGGUANGACGAGUAGCUAUAAUUCUAAAGCUAAUACAAAAUAGUUGGGGAAGGGCUGGUUAAGUAGAGCUUCAGAGUAUUUUCAUCAUAAGCUGUAAGCUUUUACAACUAUGGGAGAUAGUCCUACGGGGGCGUUAUACAGGUAUUAAUCAACCACUGAUCACUUGCCAGAUCACGCUGUACCAGAGAAUAUGUUCCAUAAAACUUUGAGUUUCUGUGGAAGCAACUAUUUGUAUUGAACGUGGAGUAGGGUUAUUAGAAGGAGAAGUAGAUUCUUACGGUACUCUAAGCGGUGUCAACCUCUAGAUUUUUGAGCUGCUAACUAAUUGACUCAGUAGUGAUGUUAGGUUGUUUUUUUAUUUUUCGUUAAAAAUCUUUCUUACUUGUAAGAUUAUACGUACAAUUAAAUGUGUUAGAUUUUUACGACCUAAUACUUCACCGUUAAAGCUAAAGUCUACCGAGUCUACAUUUUUCCAAAUCUUAUUUUGACACCGACAUCACCCUAACCAGGUAAGAAGGGAUGGUAAAUGUAGAUGAUGGGAAAAUACGUAGUAACAGCUUUGUUUUUACACUAUACUUAUACGACGUAUUUCUCUUCGUUACCUGUUUUAUGAUGAUAAUCAAGGUUUACCAAUUCUUUAACAUUAAUAUUAUCCUUUUUUUACACGACGAUAGUCAAAGUAUACCAAUUCUUUUACGUUAGUAUUUUCAGGUAACUACAUUCGAUCGAAAGUUCACAUUCCCAAACGUUAUUUUACAAUAACCGUUGACGUCACCAGACAGGGACGGAGGUAUGGUAAAUAUUGUGGUAUAGUAACUGAUUUGAUGUUAAAUUAUGUUUUUUACGACGUAUUAAUCGUUAUCGUUACGAAUUUCUCGUUAUUGUAUCUAUGUAUUUCUCGUUCUUAUCACGGAGAACUAUACGACAGUAGUUAGUAAGAAUCAAAAGUUUCACGUUAUUAUAUCCACGUAUAUCACGUCCUUUUUUCUAAUAUACGACAGUAGUUAAGUAAUUUCUCUUUGACGUACUCAUAUCAAGGUAAAUUUCGUCUUGUAUUUUUUCUUUUUUAUACAACGGUAGUAAAGGUGUCUCUAUCUCUUGACCUUCAUAUUUCCAGUACAAUAAAUUCGUCCUAAUUCUCACUUUCCCAAAUUUUAUUUUACCACCGACGUUAUCAUCAGUAGGGAUGAAGGUUGGUAAAUGUAUUUUUCGUCCUUGUUACGGAGAACUAUAGCACGGUAGUUUAUAUCUAUCAAAUGUUUGACGUGUUUAUAUCUACGAAUUUAUCGUCCUUGUUUUUUAAUAUACGAUGGUAGUUAAGUUCUAAAAUUUAUAUUGAUAUAAUAUGUAAGUAUUCGUUUCAAUGUCUCCUUUUUAUACGACGGUAAUUAGGAAUUAGUCACGUUUUUGAUGUUAUAAUAUUCGGGGUAGCCAAGAUUAAUUAAAUUUUAUCGUUAUUAAUCAAAAAUUUGUCGUCCUAUAAUGAUAAAAUUUGUCACUUCAUUGUAGCAAGGUAUGUAAACUCAAAGGUUGAUGUAACUGGUAUUUAUCAUGCUAUUUCCUAUUGUAUUCGACGAUAGUUAAGAUGUAUCUAAUCUUUAUCGGUAUUAUAUCCUUUGAUUUUCUGGUAUUUAUAUCAUCAAAUCUAUGUUUUUUCCCGCUUUGUCAUCCUUGCAUUAAGUAUAUCCGGAACGAUUGGUGUAUCUUUUGGGUUUUAUAUAGUUCAAACACACGUUCCGGCGUUUUUGGUCCACCGUCUAAUUUCUAUAAAUAGAUCAAUCCUCCCUUCCUCCCACGCAGUCCGUACAAAGGUCACCGGUCGGCAACGUACUGGUGAACUGCCAGUUAGGUGUAUAUGUUUUAUAGAGGUGAGUAUCUGUACUUGUAACUGGAUAACGCGAGUAGGAACUUUCGCAGUGUACGUCUCUCCUAUCGAAGUUCUCUAUCUGGCCCUUACAAUAAAUCAGAAUGGUAUGUGAGGAGAUACCUCACUUCAAAACCUGUUCGCAGUUAGAGUGCGACAUCGUUAGCGAGUCGAUACAAGUUAGAAAAAAACGGUUCGAGUUGGUUGAGAACGUAUGUUAGUCUCAACAAAAGUUAAAAAGGAAAUGCCCAACUACAGCCACAUCAGAAUGCACUGCCUCCACUCCUUGCUGCAGAGAAUGGUCUUCUUCAUACUCGUCUUCGUGAUCAUUACACGCCUAAAGGUGAGAAUUGACCCCAACCUCACCCUCUUAUACUUCAACGUAGUAACUACGGUAGAAGUAAAACGCCGCUGUAACGGUACCCAUUAACCACCGAUGGUCUUCAAACGGGUACAGGACUUCCUGGCCGGUACCUAAAAGACUAAACGAGAUUUUACCGCCAACACGGGCCCCUACUACUACUGUACGAUGCUUGUAGGAGUGAAACGUAAGGUCAGCAUUUAGGUACGGAUGGGCAUCGUCACCAGAAAGGUCUAUUCUUGAGUUACAGGAAUAUACGUCCCUUGCCAAACAGGGAUGUGAAUCGUAUUCGACUUAAAAGAACAUUGUUAUAUUUUGUGUUACCAGUUGACUCUUUUGAUAUUAAUAUAUUUUUAAUUUUAAAGUUCUAUUAACCAAGUUGUUGUAUGGCGAUGGUGAUGUAAGGUUAGUGAAUCCAGCGGACGACAACCUUACAACGCUAGUAUUAGGGUUGGGGUAGGUGAGAAUAAUCGAUUACAAACUAUGUACUGCUUAACAGCGAAGUUGUGAAAAUCAGCUAAAACAUUUACCGAAAAUUGUUUCAAACGAAAACAAGCGUCCAACUUUAGUACUUAAUAAGAAGGGGUUCGUUCACCUCAUUUUGAAGGUAACUGCUUUAAAGGUUCUUGUACAAGAAGACAGUAGUUCAAGUUGUAACGGCUUAGGUACUGGAAACAGGUUAAAGGUCUCGCAUGAGACCCAAAGCUCUAAAGGACUGACACCGAAACCUCCGAAACCGAUAGUCAACUCCACUGUAGUUAUUGCAAAUACAAAACAGAAUGUUUUGCUACUUGAACAGAUAAAACUCCAUCGUAGACUUCAAUUAGUUGUAUAUUUAUUUAUUUAUUUAAUUGUUCAGCAGCACUUCAUGUCGAAUAUCAUUCAAUUGUACCGAAUCUUCUUUCCCCUAUUACUACUAGUGCCACCGACGUUACGCUUUUUGUACGGUGGGUUGGUACUUCAAGAUCAAAGAAUGGGUACGUAGUAGCAGAGUAAAAUACAGUUUAUUCCGUAGGUUGUUCCGUUGUCUCUUUCGUGGUGGUAAAGUGUUAUGGAGGUUCUAGUAUACGUAACUCAUGUACAAGUAGUCGUCUAUGACUAUUAAGGGUCACAAGUCGAUAUAUAUCUUGUACCAAUAAGGUCAAAAAAUUGACACAUCUUAACUACCGUCGUAUAGAAAUAAAAACAGGACGAUAAAUACUUGGAUAUAAUAACGUGAAACUUAUCUGGGUAUGUUUACUACCGGAUAGGUCUCUCGGAUUUAUUUUACGUUAUCCUUCUGUUUCUUUGUAUUAUAUUUAUCGUACGUUUUAAUAUAUUUUGUUGUUGGAACAGAAAGUUGUUAUAAUAAAUGAUAAUAAAUUUCAUCCGUGUAAUAUAAUGUCUUUAAUUCUUUUUAGACUACCAAAUGGAUUUUUAGAUUAAUAAAUUUUAGUUGAUAAUACUUGAAAAGUCGUAUUAUCAACAUUUUUUACUUAUUCUUUAUUUCAUUAUUCUGCUUAGAUCAUCUUUGGUUCUCUUUUCGUUCUGCAUUCUCAUCUACUUAAAAGCCGGUAUUAAUUAUGUGAGUUUGACUUCGAAAUGUUAACUUUAUUUUAUUAUUAUCCUUAGUUGUGUAUUUAUAUUUACCUCGUUAGUGAGUUGUACUUACUUAGCAGGAUACAUAACUUAACCAUCGACGUAUCCUGAUUAGGGUAUACGGAGGUUUAGUGUUAUGUAGACUUAAGUUUUUACGAAGUGACGAACAAUUAUCCUAUGUAGAGCAAGGGUAAGUUCCGGGUCGUAAUAGUUUCAAUCCGGUGUUCAAUGUAGUUUGAUCUAUUUUUUUUUGGGUGGAAACAUUCUAGUUCCUCGCGUUUAUGCUAAUUGAUAAGUCUACUCGUGUCACUUCCCAUCUCAAAGGAGUUGGUGUCUUAAAAACUCCCCAAACGUAGAGUGGGACCACGUAUGAUAAAUAUCCCUUCUUCAGUCCUGAAUGAUACAAUCCAUCCUCUUUUAUUCACAUCAAUUACCUCUGCUGAGCUGUUGAGCUUGAUUGUCGUUCUAGCCUCUUCUAUAGAAAGACAACACGUCGGUUCUCUCUAACGGAAUUAAUUACCGGCUAGAUGCGUCCCUUGGCUCGAAAACUUUUGUUAUCUACGCAUCCUCUGUAACGAAGUCCUCAUUUUCGUUUGGUGAGGUUAUUUAUCCCAAAACCCCGUCACUUCUUCUGCUAUUUAUCCCAGAAACCCCGCCACUUCUUCUACUGCGAUAGAAACCAUCCGCGCUCCGUCAUUUUUCCUUUUUUUUUCUUUACAAGCGGAUCCCUUCUCUUCUUCUCAUCCCUCUCCCCAUAUCUAUCCACGCUCCUUUUUCAUUUCUUCUUAGUGUUCUCCUUCUUCUGCUGCGUCGAAGAGCUCUUUUUCUACUUCUGCUUCUACCCCGUCCACGUUCUCAUUUCCCCGCUAUGCUUGCUCCGUUUCGUCGUUUUAUUUUAUCUUAAAGGGUAGGGACGGGGACCCUGUUUUAGAUUAAGGUCCCCACCCCCCCUUAAUUAGAAUUGCCCAAUAAGGUCAAAAAAGACCUUAUUGGGCGAAACUGGCCAUAUUCGAUAAGGACAGAAAAAAAAAACAAACCAUCUUAUAUAUCCUAUUUUAUGAAAUAGGAGACCAAUAAGAUAAUGGUUUGUAUCGGAAUACCAUAUUUUCACAAGAUUUGGGUUUUUGACUAUCGUCACAAGAUAAUUCGAAAUGCUUACAAGAUAAUUCAGUAUUCUCCCAUUCUAACGUUACGUAUAUACAAGCGUUGACGUUUGGACUAUUUUCACAAGAUAAUUCGAGAUUCUCAUAAGAUAAGAUGAUACUGUUUUCUCACAAGUGUUGGUGUUUUGAUAAUUCUCACAAGAUAAUUAGAAAUGUUGACAAGAUAAUACCGUGUUUUCACAAGAUAAGAUGAUACUGUUUUCUCACAAGUGUUGGUAUUUCGAUAAUUCUCACAAGAUAAUUAGAAAUGUUGACAAAAUAAUACCGUAUUUUCAUAAGAUAAGAUAUUACUGUUUUCUCACAGGUGUUCAUAUUUUGAUAAUUCUCACAAGAUAAUUGGAAAUGUUGACAAGAUAAUACCGUUAUUUCACAAGAUAAGAUGAUACUGUUUUCUCACAAGUGUUGGUAUUUCGAUAAUUGUCACAAGAUAAUUAGAAAUGUUAAUAAGAUAAUAGCGUAUUUUCACAAGAUUUGGGUUUUUGACUAUCGUCACAAGAUAAUUCGAAAUGCUUACAAGAUAAUUCAGUAUUCUCCCAUUCUAACGUUACGUAUAUACAAGCGUUGACGUUUGGACUAUUUUCACAAUAUAAUUCGAGAUUCUCACAAGAUAAGAUGAUACUGUUUUUCUAAUAAGUGUUGGUAUUUCGAUAAUUCUCACAAGAUAAUUGGAAAUGUUGACAAGAUAAUACUGUAUUUACACAAGAUAAGAUAAUACUAUUUUCUCACAAGUGUUGGUAUUUCGAUAAUUCUCACAAGAUAAUUGGAAAUGUUAAUAAGAUAAUACCGUAUUUUCGCAAGAUUUCGAAUUUUGACUAUCGUCACAAGAUAAUUCGAAAUUUUUAUAAGAUAAUUCAGUAUUCUCCCAUUCUAACGUUACGUAUAUACAAGCGUUGAUAUGUAGACUAUUUUCACAAGAUAAUUCGGGAUCUUUACAAGAUGAUACUGUUUACUCACAAGUGUUGGUAUUUCGAUUAUUCUCACAAGAUAAUUCGACAUUCAUACAAGAAAAUACCGUAUUCUCACAGUCUAACAGUUCGUAUGUACAAACGUUUGUGUUUAAAAUAUUCUCACAAGAUGAUUCUCACAAGAAUAUUCGAGAUUCUCAUUUGGGAAAUACCGUAUUCUCACUGUUUAACAUUGCGUAUGUACGAGUGUCGGUUGAUAUGUGCUUAUGUUUGUUUAAUUAAUAAUUAUGUUUAUAUGUUCAUACGUAUUCUCUUAUAUGAUCAUUGGGGUUUGUAUAAAAGAUAUGGAAAGACGUAUGAUCAUUGCGAUUUAUACAAAAGGUAGUAUUUGAUUCGUUUUAAAAUACUUUACGUACUUUAUAUACACACAAUGACACCUGCGUAGAAGAUUUGGGAUUUGGGAUUAAGAUUAGUAUUUAUGAAAUAAAAAUGUUUACGUUAUUUUUUAUAUUAUAUGGUCGUCACAGGAUUUUUAUUUUAAUUAGUCGAUCAGCCACUGCUUUAGGCCUCGUGCAUUUCUGUUUGGGUUGGACGUUGGGAUUUGGGAGUUUUAUAUCUUAAAUAUAAUUUAAAUUUUAAAAUUUAUUUUCUAAUAUCUUUAAGUUUUUAUUACGGGACAAACUCAACUUAGGAGACAAGCCAACAACGGCUUAAUCGAGGCUUUAGCAAAAGUUAAAACCUGCGUGUACUCACGUCCUUACUCACUGUCCAUGACCCUACUUAUCCCCUCGUUAACUCUCCGUUAGAGGAUGGUUACCUCUCUCCGCUCCCGCUCUCUGUGGAAGCUCUGCCGAAACCUGUGCUCUACACACCUUGCUCACGACGGAUUGAAAACGGGCUACCUCAACUCACGGGACGGUCACUCUCGCUCUCUUUCUCUCUCCCUUCUCGCGCUCUAGUUCUCUCUCCGCUCCCUCACUCUCUCUCUCGCUCUUUGCCUCUCUCGCUCUUAUUCCACACGCCCUCUCUCUCUCUCUCUACACAUGAUCUUCCCAUAUCGAAAUCCUUCUUUAUUUUUCCCCUCACUUCAAUCGACGAUGAUGACACGAUCACGGGAUUAUAGUCGGCAACCUAGUAUGCCCACAUCCUACAUGUGGAAAGAUUUCAUCAGACCGAUCUCAAAAGGAUAAAAUAUCAAUAUAUUAAAUAAAUUAAAUAUAAAAAUAUAUAUUUAUUUAUUAAUAUAUAUUAUAUAUAAAAAUAAUAAAUUAAAAAUCGUUUUAUUUUUAUAUUUACGCUCGAAUUAAUAAUUUUUUAUGUACAUUUCAAAGUUAAUAAUCUAGUUUCAGAUUACCUAUUCUAAAAUAUUUAAAUAAAAAAUAUAUAUAAAUUAGAUUAAAAAAAAUUAAAUAACAAGCAACCGGUCGAGCACUCGGUCGACCAUAAGCCGAGCAAUUAUUUGCUCAACUUGUGCUCGAUUUAAAAAGCCGAGCUAUGAAAUUGUUCGAUUAAGCACAAGAUGAGCAAAUUAUUUGCUCGGCUUGUUUUCGGUUGGGUCGGGCGAGCACAAGCAGAGCAAAUGUGGGGAUGGACGUUCCGACGUUGCGACGACCAGCAACCGAGCCCUGUAAUCUUGUUCGUCGUCAAAGGGGCUUCUGGUGAACGUUUCAGAUUUCGGGUGCAUUUUGGGGGGUGUUCAUUUGGGGAGCUAGGUCAGGAGGGAGCUAGAGAAGGUUACGGCGGGUGAGAGGGAGAAGUGGCGGCGGCGGAGGAGGAGGGCAGGGUGGUGAUGCCACUGGUUUAGGCGUGGAAGCAGCUGCGGGCGCACUUCACCCACGCCCUGGCGCGGGAGCUGGUGCGGCACCUCUUCCUUUUCGUGGAGGUUGGGAAGGUGCGGGAGUUUCUGGAGGAGGAGGAGAGGCGGCGUAGGAGGAGAGGAAGAGGAAGAGGCAGAGGCAGGGAGGGGGAGAGGAGGCAGCGGCGCGCGGCGAGGCUAGAGGCGGAGGGGAAGGCGCGGUAGGCGAAGUAGGCGGAGAAGGGGAGGCGGAAGGAGCUUCUGGAGGGGAGCAGCAGCAGCAGGAGGAGAGCAGGGGUGGGGCAGUAGGCGGUUUUAUAAAACAUUAUGUAAAAUUUGAUACAAAAUGUCACGCCCCGGGACCGGCGGAGGCCCUCCCGGUAGCGUGCCCAGACCCGCCAUAUGUCUACACAUAUAAGGCGUCUACAAUAAAAGCGGAAGUAAAAGCAAGUAAUAGAACAAAUAGAAGAAGUGAAAUAAUGAGCAGCUAAUGAUAUCAGAGCGAGUAAAGUUCUAACAUCUACACCAAGGUAAAAAAGAAUAAAGCUAGACAAUAAAAGAAAUCAUAAGUAGUACAAUAUCUGUCCCAAAAGUACAAAAACGGUGGUCUCUAAUACACUGGUAGAACUCUCAACCUCUCGCAAAAGGAACAAAAAAUCGAGAGGUAGACCACCUAGCAACUCGUCCUCGAAGGAAGCUAGCUCGAAGCAACUCCCUUCCCGCGAUUCCUGGCCUCACCCUGAGUGGAAGGCUCUGAAAAACAUCGAGAAAAAGAGGGCAUGAGAACUAUAAUUUAUAAUUCCCAGUGGGCAAUUACUGACCUCAGCUCAAUGCACCACUAGGCCCCAAAAGAAGAGGGUAAGUACAAUAAUAAUAGCAAUAAAUAGCGAACACGAAACUGCUGAAGGAAGCAUGAAUGAAAUGCUAUGCUACUAUGUCUCCAAUAAGCAUGAUGUUAUGGUAAUGUACAUCUACGCUAUCAUAAGGUAAUAUAUAUCCGAUGCAUACUAAUAUGUCUCAACAUAAAAAGCAAGUAAACCUCACGAUGCCAUAUGUCAAUGCAUAAGGGUAAACUUUAUCCAAACAACCGAGUAUGCUACGAUGCGAUAAUGAAACCGGCAAGUAUACUAAAUGUACCAAUGCUAUAUCAUAAGCGUGUCCAAGUAAUCCAACUACUAAUCCUAUCUAGUAGUGAUUGUUCAUAUUCAACACCGUGUCGAUUUCCAUUUCCAAUUAAGGACCUACCAAAGGUAGUCCAGCUUGUGCCGCCUAAGUGCCUGUGGUAGCCCGACAUUCCUACUCUUGGAAUGUGUCUGUCCCACUCGGCCCCGUAGGCUUCUCAAUACCGCACGAGCGAACGUAGUCGCGUAGGCUAACUCCGGAGUGCCGGCUUGUAGGGAGCGACCCUCACAAGCAUGUGCGAAUGAGCACAAAUGGCAAGCAAGCAUGGUCCAAGUCUCAAGUAUCCAAUUCUCAUGUCUCUAACAUGGUAUAGUCACUAGCAUCCCGAAGACCUAGUUUAAGUCACAAUGUGAAAUUUCAACAUUUGCUACGCCUAGUGCCCCUUGAUGACACUUAGGCAAUUUGAUGUUCGACAUGUUUUCCAAAUCCCUCAAUGGCCCUAUCCACUAAAUUCACACAAGUCCUGAGCUCAAUGCCGCUUGAUGACAUUAGCUCUCCAAUUCACAUGAUAUCAAGUUCGAUGCCUACAUAUGAAGCAAUUGUCAUCUUUCAUGUCUCAAUUAAACUUAUGUUUAAACGCAUGAAUCAUAGCUCAUUUACUCUCUAGAACCAUGAAAUCAAACCCCAUAUAGAAUGCUAAAUGCAACCCAAGAUCUCCCAAACAACUCUCUACUACAUAGAGGUCCAAAGAUACAUCAUAUAUAACAUAUGCAUUUUAAGCAUUCUAAAAAUCAUAAUAAAUACAUUUAAUAUGAAAAUGCAUGAAUUAAUUAGUAACAAAGCACUUAUCACCAAAUAUGAGAUUUUCUCAUAUCAAAGGCUAGGUCAAACCCACCGACGACAACGAAGCUUUUCGUUUGCUCCAACGGAGGUUUCCACAAGCUUUCUAGCACCCUAAGAACAUCAAAAAGGGUGUCAUCCAAUCGAUACGAAGAGUAAUAAGCUCGAUCUUUAACCUAGGAGCAAAAAGGGUCAAACUCACCUCAAGAGUAGAAAUCUUCUCUUAAGCUCCAAAAGAGAGCUAGGGUUCAACCAAUCCAAGCCCAAGGAAGGUUCUAAACCCACCAAUCUAGUCUCUAAAGCCCUAGAAUCAAAAUCCCCAAAAAUAAACCCUAAGUAUCAAAUCUAGGGUUCCAACUCAAAAUUUAGCAAAAACAUGGAUCAAAGGCUCAAAUCAUGUUGCUAACCUCUCUAGAAGCUUGAGUAUUCUAUAGUGUCACCUAAAUAGCUUGGNUAAUAGAGAUGCCACAAUUGCGAAAAACCCCCUGCAGUUCAAACUGCUCAGAUUCUGCCAAAGUGUACCGGUACACGGGAAAGUGUACCGGUACACAUCCUACGAAAACGCAAACCCGAGGCUCGGGUUCGUAAUUUGCCACAAGUGUACCGGUACAACCAUCAAGCGUGUACCGGUACAAAGUGUGUACCGGUACGGCCAUCAAGAGUGCACCGGUACAUCUUGUGCAGAAUGCAAUCCGAGGGUAGGCUAAGUCCAACUUUUUUUGUGACCUUAGCGCUACAUAAAAUACUACAAUUCUCGGGACACGAGCCAUAGGUUGGAACACUGUCAACGACCCACCAGGAAGUCUGGAAAGACUCGGGACACUGUCCAAACACUCGAACCCCGCAAUUUGCAAAAGUCCAGUGCGUCACACAAAAAAUGUCUAAUAGUUCAACAUACAAAGUAAAUGCAUGAAAUACGAUAUUAUAAUAUUAAAAAAAUUAAAAAAAGCGACUCUACGAGGAAGUGAAAAAGAUGUAGAGAAAUUAUAGUAGUAUUUUGCUGGUUUUGUUUUGUGGGCCCAAUAAUCUAAAUUUUAUAUACAUAUAAUUAAAAUACAUAAUAUAUAUUAUUUUAUAUAAUUAAAAUAUAUAUUAUAUAUAAUUAUACUUUUAUGAGUAUAGACUCCUUUAUACUCAUAAGUUUUCGACCAUUAGAUCUAUUCUUUUGACUAUUUUCAUCCGUUUAAUCAUACUAUUCAAUGAACCACCCACUCAAUCCUAGGGGACCACUAUCAUCCUAAUCGCACAUCCAACGGCUAAAAAUUUAAAAUAUAAAGGGGUCUAUACUUAUAAGAGUAUAGUAGCCCGAGCCUAUAUAUAUAUAGAAUAGGCUACUAUAGUAUUAAUAGUACAAACCGCCUGCUAUUAGGUUUUCGGCCCUUUGAUGAAGGGAUGUGCGGUCAGGAUGAUAGUAGCCCCCUAGGAUUGAGUACGUAGGUGGCUAGUUGAAUAGUAUGAUCUAACGAAUGAAAAUGGCUAAAGAGAUAGAUCUAACGGCAGAAAACUCGAUAGCACCAAAUGCUUGAUACUAUCGAUAAUGUAGUAGCCGGACUCUAUAUAUAUGUAGUCAGAUCUAACGAUAGAAAACUCAAUAGUACAAAGUGCUUAGUACUAUUGAUAGUAUGGAUAGUAUAGUAGCCGGACUAUAUAUAUAGAGAGAGAGAGUCUGGCUACUAUAUUAUCGAUAGUACCAAAUGCUUGGUGCUAUCGAAUUUUAUGCCAUUAGAUCUAUCUUUUUGGCCAUUUCCAUCCAUUAGAUCAUAUUAUUCAACUAAUCACCCACUCAACCCUAGGGGAUCACUGUCAUUCUAACCGUACAUCCCUUCAUCCAAGGGCCGAAAACCUAAAAGCAAGUGGUUAGUACUAUUAAUAGUAUAGUAGACUAAUUUUAUAUAUAUAUAUAUAUAUAGAACUAGGCUACUAUACUAUCGGUAGCACGGAGGCCUCCGUGCUACCAAGUUGUUUUCAAUGAUGUGGCUUCCAAAUCGACGAUCGGCUCCGUUAGACUUGAUCUACACUAUUAAAAGUAUUUAGAAACUAAAUUUCAUAAUUUUUCGAUAUCAUUUACCUAUCAAACAAGUAGUCUAAAAUUGAACGGCUGAAAAUAAAAAUCUCAUAAAAAAUAAAGAUAAAAGAUUUAAAUUCAAGAUCAGAUAUACUGAUCUUACUCUAAAUAGUGAAAAGAAUUUUCUAUAAAAUUUUCAUCGUAUUUGGAUUGUUUUACACUGUUAAACUCACAAACACACCACAUCGGCCAUUAAAAUUGUCAAUUUUUAGAUCUUUUGAUCACUAGUCAAAUGAUGUCGAAAAAAUCUAAAAUUUAGUUCCAAAUACUUUCAAUAGUGUAGAUCAAGUCUAACGGAGUCGAUCGUCGAUUUGGAAGCCACAUCAUCGAAAAUAACUUGGUAGUACGGAGCCUUCCGUGCUACCGAUAGAUAUAUAUAUAUAUAUAUAUAUAUAUAUAUAUAUAUAUAUAAAACUAGGCUGGAAUACUAUCAAUAGCACCAAGCUAUUGAUGCUAUUAAUUUUUUAGCCCUUGGAAUGAGAAAUGUGUGGUUAGGAUGAUGUGGGCCCUCUAGGGUUGAGUGAGUGGUUGGUUGAAUAGUAUAAUCUAACGGAUAAAAAUAAUCAAAUGGUUAAAUCUAACGGUGGAAAACUAUAAUAUCCGAGAUUUUGAUAGUGUAGCUAAACCCUUUGUUGACGAUAUUUUUGUGUGUAAUGUAGUUACAUAACCACUCGUCAAGUUUCAGGGAAAAACGAGUUAGAUGGAGAAGUUACGCAACCGAUACUAAUCACUUAAAGUGAAUAGUAACUCCGGUUUUCUAGAGAAGCCAAUGAGUGGAGAAGGCUUUUGGUGUGUAUUGGACUCCGUUCAUAGUGAUCCAAUAGCUCGUUUUCGAUGGUUUGACUAUCCUGGACCCAAUGGCACUGACAGAUUUGGAUUCUGAUGCACGAUUUUCGAGAAAAAGAGUUUUAUUGGAUCUAUUUGUAUAGGUAUGGUUUUUGGAGAUUGGAGAGGGUUGGUUAUGUCGCAAUCGGUGAUCGAAUCGGACGAAACGAAAUCGUAGAUUCGAUGCCCCAGUCAUGCUGAGCGCGCUGGCGUGAUUCGUUUGGAAAUCCGACGGACGGAUCUGCGAGGAACGUGAAAAGUUCAUUGAGGGGUCGAAUUGGUAAAAAUGAAAAAUUCGUGAAAAGUCUAAUAUUUUAUGCGCCGUUUUGCGUGAAUUCGAACGUCGAGGGGCUCGUGUGCAAAAUACACGUACUGGCAGGGGACUUAGCUGUAAACGAUCAGCCUUGGGUGGACUUUUCUGCAAUUAUGCACAUAGUAUAUAAAGUGCAUCUAGGGUUUCCUUGCAUGAAACCCUAGAUUGAUUCCACCCUGAUCCCCCAGCUAACCCUAGCCAUCGCAGCACCCACCCACCUUGCUCGUGUGCACGCCCCUACCGUCGGCGGGCACCCCCGGUCACUGGAAAAGCCACGCCGACCUCCCUCUUCGCUCCUCCCUCUACCGUGCCUCCACCACUUCGGCCGUGAAGCUCAGGAGAACACCCCCUUGAGUCAAGUCUGAGUUCUCUGGCCAAGUCUUCCCCUCCGGCGUCAUCCUCGCCGGCUCCCGCCCUCCGCGUGCGCCGCUGGCGCCGCUAGGACUCGCUGCGGCCGCCCAGACCCAGAGCAGGCCGAGCCGAGAUCACCCUGGCCUCGGUGCGUUGCCUCUACCUAUGAUCGGUGGGGCCGGCCUCCGACAAUCUCCGGCAACACUCUGCUCGCCGUCCCGUCGUCCCGAAGCGCCGCCGGCCGCCCUCAGUGCUCCCUGCGGCCGCCCAGACUCAGUGCGGGCCGAGGCUGAGUCACCUCGGCCACCGCGUGUCGCUGCCGCCCAACGUCGACCACACCGCACUCCCUCGGUCGCCUUCGCCCUGAAGCUCCUCCGGCCGCCACUGCCUUCCCGAACCCGAAUUGAGCUGUUCGAGCUCGUGCUUUGCCCCCGCGCCAUUGGCCGCCUCCCGCAACCGGCCAGCACGCGCCCAACUCCUCUCCGACUGGCCGCGACCUCCCCCUGCCGGAGCGCCCGCCGUCCGGCCACCGCCGGUCACCCUCGGGCUCCUGCUUGCUCCAGUAAGUCUUUAACAGUAUUCUGCACUUUAUUUCGGGUUCCGGUCGCCUUUCCGCCGAUCCGAAGGCACCCCGAUAAUUCUGGAACUGAGCACGACGAUCUCUGAUCCGUGCUGAACAUCGUGCUCACCUCCGUUGGGGUCAGCGAUAACCCGGUUUGCAAGUUAGAUGCGAUUUAGGCGUUGUGCGCGCUGUUUCGCUGAAGUUCGCGUCGCUCGUACGCUUGCCUCAAUGGCCGGCAGUGCUCCGAAGCAUGAGCAUGGCCUCCGGUACGCCGAGACCUAUUAGCGGAUGUCUUGGCCUGGCUGAAUGACCCUCAGUUUGCACUGUCGGGUCAUAAAAGCCCGAAAAUCACAUAAAGUAAUGUGAUAUUAUGGGAUCGGGAGGGUUUUUACGCAAUUGUGCUUUUUGUGGUCGCUGUUGGCAGUGUGUGCGGGCAGUGGGUGACCUUUGGACUGAUUGUCCAAGACUCUAGGCCUUUUUAGAGAUCGAAAAUUGAUUUCCGGUGCGUUCUUUGGUGAAAUCCGCCGACGGAAUACGUUUUCGGUUCGGAAUUCUUCCGACGGUGCCUCGUGAUAAUUUGUGUCGUCGCUGAGCCUUGUUGGCUGGUUACCCGCUUCGUUUCGAGGGUUCGAAAACGACGGGUGAGUGACGGUGGGUUCCGGUGUCGAAUUGGACAUUUCCGGGAACCCGGAUCGGAGCGAUUAUCCAAUGAUAAUCGUUUCGGGGUGAGUUAGUGUAUUUGCUGCCAAGUCACAUGAACAUAUGUGUUUAGUGGCAGCGGGUGACUCAUAACAUGAGUCGGUGAAUUCUGGGACAGUUCGUGGGUCCCGGCGGAGUCUCGGUGCGGUUUCGGGACUUCCGGCGUGUUCGGCAAUCGGUUUUGGGAAACCGAUUCCGUAGGUUCGUUGGUGGGAUUGGUUUCGAGCUAGCUCUUCAGCAAGGGACAAGUUGCUAGGUGGUCUACCUCUCGAUGUAUUUUAUUUUGGGAGAGGUUGAGAGCUGUACCAGUGUACUAGAGACCACCCUUUGUGUACUUUUGGGACAGAUAUUGUACUAUCUUAUGGUUUACUUUUAUUGUUUAGUUGUAUCCUUUUACUUUUGUUAUAGAAAGUAGAAUCUUACUGCUCUGAUAUCAUUAGUUUUUGCUCUUUCCUUUCGGCUAUGUUUCUUGCUUUAUUUUCGCUGUUGAUGUAGACGCCUUAUAUGUGUUGGCAUAUGGCGGGUUUGGGCACACUACCGGGAGGGCCUCUGCCGGUCCCGGGGCGUGACAGAUUAGUUUGGUAUUAGAGACUAGGGUUGAGUCUUAGUGGACCUAGCAAACCUUAGGCCGGUUGGACUAUAGGAAUUAGGCUCGUGAGAGACGAGGUCUAAUUGACUUGUGCGCGAAAGUAUUAUGAUUGGGUUUUAUGACAACUCUAAAAAGUUAGAGUUUGAUCGAAGUGUAUGGCUUCUAACUUCGCGGAGGGUUACGUUGGCGGCUGAUAACGUAACAUCGGGAGUUAGUAGUGGAGGACACUUCCUUACUUUCGCACGAUUUGGGUUUUAUCUAUUUGAGCGGGGAUGCGGUAGCGUGGGUUACUAACUUGCGCUUUUAUGUUUUGUAGUGACGAUGCCGAUUACACGCUCCCAGUCUGCCGGAGCGGAUGAUGCAGCACACCCCGAGGAGGCCGAGACCUCCGCUACUUCCGGAUCUAGUGAGGUCCGUGACUUAAGGUCCCAGCUUGCAGUCCUCACCGAUCUGUUGGCACAGCAGGCGGCAGCGACGCAGCGACAGGCUGAGGUGGCUCAGCGGCAGGAGGCGCGGAUGAAGCAUCUUGAGGACCUCCUACUUCAGCAGGCGGCAGCUUCGAGGGAGACCCAGGUUCCCACACCGCCAGCACCCGUGGUGGACGUCGCACCGAGGGCGCAGUCCCCCGCGCCCAGUUCUUCACGUGCGGCACCGGCGACCACACCUCUUGAGGAGGUGGCUGCGGCACCCCCAGUUC